rnacentral:rRNA from 1 species
GGCGAGUGAAGCGGGAAGAGCUCAAAUUUGAAAUCUUCAAGGUUCUACCUUGACGAAUUGUAGUUUAAAGAAGUGUUUUCUGCUAGUGGAGUGGCAAAAGUUCUUUGGAAUAGGACAUCAUAGAGGGUGAGAAUCCCGUAUUUGGUCAUUCUUUCUAGCUUUGUGAUACACUUUCAAAGAGUCGGAUUGUUUGGGAAUGCAGUCCAAAAUGGGUGGUAAAUUUCAUCUAAAGCUAAAUAUUGGCGAGAGACCGAUAGCGAACAAGUACCGUGAGGGAAAGAUGAAAAGAACUUUGAAAAGAGAGUUAAACAGUACGUGAAAUUGUCAAAAGGGAAGCGUUUGACACCAGUGUUGUUUUUCCGAAAAUCAAUUAUGAAUGUUUUGUUUUUGAGGAGUUAUGACUUCAUCGGCUUGCUCCUUUCUUUACGGAACUUUCGUAAUGCACUUUUCGGUUAACAAGUCAACAUCAAUUUCUUUUGUUGUAAAAGGGUACGAGGAAGGUGGCUUUCUUUUCCGAGAAAGUGUUUAUAGCCUUGUGCCUCUGCAAUCGGAGAGAUUGAGGUCUGCAGCGUAGAUCCUUCGGGGCUAGAUACACUUGUGCUAAGUUAUAGCUUUUCAUAAACAACUUGUUGACUAUGUUUAGUCUUGUAGCUUACCCGCUUGUGCUAUUUUACCUACGCUUAGGAUGUUGACAAAAUGGUUUUAAACGACCCGUC